AUUGAACGCUGGCGGCAUGCCUUACACAUGCAAGUCGAACGGCAGCACGGGUGCUUGCACCUGGUGGCGAGUGGCGAACGGGUGAGUAAUACAUCGGAACAUGUCCUGUAGUGGGGGAUAGCCCGGCGAAAGCCGGAUUAAUACCGCAUACGGUCUACGGAGGAAAGCGGGGGACCUUCGGGCCUCGCGCUGUAGGGUGGGGCGAUGGCUGAUUAGCUAGUUGGUGGGGUAAAGGCCUACCAAGGCGACGAUCAGUAGCUGGUCUGAGAGGACGAGCAGCCACACUGGGACUGAGACACGGCCCAGACUCCUACGGGAGGCAGCAGUGGGGAAUUUUGGACAAUGGGCGAAAGCCUGAUCCAGCAAUGCCGCGUGUGUGAAGAAGGCCUUCGGGUUGUAAAGCACUUUUGUCCGGAAAGAAAUCCUUGGCCCUAAUACGGUCGGGGGAUGACGGUACCGGAAGAAUAAGCACCGGCUAACUACGUG
rnacentral:rRNA from 1 species